UAUAAGUCAGAAAAGUGGCUUUCAGGGAGU
rnacentral:piRNA from 1 species